CCUACGGGGGGCUGCAGUGGGGAAUAUUGGACAAUGGGGGGAACCCUGAUCCAGCCAUGCCGCGUGUGUGAAGAAGGCCCCCGGGUUGUAAAGCACUUUCAGUGAGGAAGAACGCCUGGUGGUUAAUACCCAUCAGGAAAGACAUCACUCACAGAAGAAGCACCGGCUAACUCCGUGCCAGCAGCCGCGGUAAUACGGAGGGUGCGAGCGUUAAUCGGAAUUACUGGGCGUAAAGCGCGCGUAGGUGGCUUGAUAAGCCGGUUGUGAAAGCCCCGGGCUCAACCUGGGAACGGCAUCCGGAACUGUCAAGCUAGAGUGCAGGAGAGGAAGGUAGAAUUCCCGGUGUAGCAGUGAAAUGCGUAGAGAUCGGGAGGAAUACCAGUGGCGAAGGCGGCCUUCUGGACUGACACUGACACUGAGGUGCGAAAGCGUGGGUAGCAAACAGGAUUAGAUACCCUGGUAGUC
rnacentral:rRNA from 1 species